AUUGAACGCUGGCGGCAGGCUUAACACAUGCAAGUCGAACGAGUGGCGGACGGGUGAGUAAUGCUUGGGAAUCUAGCUUAUGGAGGGGGAUAACUACGGGAAACUGUAGCUAAUACCGCGUACCAUAGGAUGAGCCCAAGUGGGAUUAGGUAGUUGGUGAGGUAAAGGCUCACCAAGGCGAAGAUCCCUAGCUGGUCUGAGAGGAUGACCAUCGACACUGGGACUGAGACACGGCCCAGACUCCGACGGGAGGCAGCAGUGGGGAAUAGUGCGCAAUGGGGGCAACCUGACGCAGCCAUGCCGCGUGAAUGAAGAAGGCCUUCGGGUUGUAAAGUUCUUUCGGUGGCGAGGCGUUACCUACAGAAGAAGCACCGGCUAACUCCGGGCCAGCCGCCGCGGUAAUAC
rnacentral:rRNA from 1 species